GAUGAACGCUAGCGGCAGGCCUAACACAUGCAAGUCGAGGGGUAGAACACUUCGGUGUUUGAGACCGGCGCACGGGUGCGUAACGCGUAUGCAAUCUACCUUGUACAGGGGAAUAGCCCAGAGAAAUUUGGAUUAAUGCCCCAUAGUAUAUAACCUUCGCAUGUUGGUUAUAUUAAAGUUCCAACGGUACAAGAUGAGCAUGCGUCCCAUUAGUUAGUUGGUAAGGUAACGGCUUACCAAGACGAUGAUGGGUAGGGGUCCUGAGAGGGAGAUCCCCCACACUGGUACGGAGACACGGACCAGACUCCUACGGGAGGCAGCAGUGAGGAAUAUUGGUCAAUGGGCGCAAGCCUGAACCAGCCAUGCCGCGUGCAGGAAGACGGUCCUAUGGAUUGUAAACUGCUUUUAUACAGGAAGAAACAACUCUAAGUGUAGAGUCUUGACGGUACUGUAGGAAUAAGGAUCGGCUAACUCCGUGCCAGCCGCCGCGGUAAUAC
rnacentral:rRNA from 1 species